UACGAAGGGGGCUAGCGUUGCUCGGAAUCACUGGGCGUAAAGCGCACGUAGGCGGACUCUUAAGUCGGUGGUGAAAUCCUGGAGCUCAACUCCAGAACUGCCUUCGAUACUGGGAGUCUUGAGUCCGGGAGAGGUGAGUGAAACUGCGAGUGUAGAGGUGAAAUUCGUAGAUAUUCGCAAGAACACCAGUGGCGAAGGCGGCUCACUGGCCCGGUACUGACGCUGAGGUGCGAAAGCGUGGGGAGCAAACAGGG
rnacentral:rRNA from 1 species